GCUUGGGCCUGCUCCCACCCUGUGCAGUGUGCUUCUGUUUUCAGUAAAUCUCUGCUUUUGUUGCUUCAUGCUUUCUUUGCUUUAUUUGUGCAUUUUGUCCAAUUCUUUGUUCAAAACCCCAAGAAAACUGCACAACUUCCACUGGUAACAUAUUUUGGCAAGCCAGCCAGGAGUUGAGCAGAGUUGCAAGGGCUGCUAAGGGACAGGAACCCAGAAACCUGACAUGCCGGCAAUAGGUGCUACAGAGGGCCCCUGAAGCAUUGAAAAGAGA
rnacentral:lncRNA from 10 species